rnacentral:rRNA from 1 species
GACGAAGGGGGCUAGCGUUGUUCGGAAUUACUGGGCGUAAAGCGAGUGUAGGUGGUUGUCCAAGUUGGAUGUGAAAGCCUUGAGCUCAACUCAAGAAAUGCAUUCAGGACUGGAUGACUAGAGGACCGGAGAGGAUAGUGGAAUUCCCAGUGUAGUGGUGAAAUACGUAGAGAUUGGGAAGAACACCAGUGGCGAGGGCGGCUAUCUGGACGGUUUCUGACACUAAGACUCGAAAGCGUGGGGAGCAAACAGGAUUAGAACCGGUACCGGUCCGUCCG